CGUAAUAUUGACUGAUCCGAAUGUUUACUUUGGACACGAUCACUUAGAGUCGCACAUUGCGCUCUUUUCCUCUCCCACAGUCUCCCCUGCCAGUCCUUUCUGGUUUCCUCCAGCGUCCGCGCAAAGAUCUUUAUCCAUUCCAGGCUAAGAAGAUCAGCUUAAAGGAGUUCUGUUUUUACGGAAAACCCUCUUGGUGUUUUAUUCCGUUCAGUUUCAAUGUUUUCCUUAACCCGGUGUUUGAGCUGAGGUGGUGGAGAGCAGCGGAAAGAUACCACAGGUGAAUGGAGCCGUAACGACGCUGCGGUAGAGAUGACUGAACAGUUUAAGGGUUGCAUGAGCGCAGUCUCUACCUGAUUUGACAGAAAUCGACUUAGUGUGGUACUUUGUGAGAACUGAAGUGGAUCCAAUUAGCUUUUUUAACGCAAAAAAAAAAAAAAAAUCCCUUUGGUUUUUUUUUUUUAAAGGGAUGAUAUGACCCUUUCUUUUGCGCAGUGGUGGCUGCUUUCCUGUCAGUUUGUUGGAUAUUUGCCUUUUUGCAGGAUUACACACGGAGAUAUGAGCGCAGAAAGAAGUCGAGUUGGAUUGUAAAAAGAAAAAAUAAUCCAUCUUUAAAAAAGAUAAGAAAAAAAAAAAUCAUUUUUUUUUUUUUUAGUCUCCAAAAAGGAGAGUGUUUGGUGGUAAUCAAUGGCUUCGGUGUCGAGGUCAGCAAGGCGCAAAGAUGCCACUCGCUGGCCGAGAAUGUCGUCAACUUUUUGGGCUGUGGUGCUGCUGACGGCUCUAUUGGUUCUUUACUGCGGCCAGCUGGCAGCGGGGACAUGUGAGAUUGUGACGUUGGACAGGGACAGCAGCCAACCACGACGGACCAUCGCCAGGCAGACGGCCCGCUGCGCCUGUAAGAAGGGCCAGAUCGCCGGAACUACAAGAGCCAGACCCGCGUGUGUGGACGCUGGGAUCGUUCGAAAAAGGCAGUGGUGUGAGAUGGUUCCGUGUUUGGAGGACGAAGGCUGUGACCUGUUAGUCAAUAAAUCUGGAUGGACUUGUACACAGCCUGGAGGCCGAGUUAAAACCACCACGGCUCUAUGACGCGACAAGAGUUCCCCACGACAUUCUUGCACUAUGGAGAGCUUUGACGACCCCUUGACAGACAGCCAAAACCCACCAACCAACACCACCAACACAACAGCAGAUCUACCUUUACCUUGGUGCCACAAAGGCAGGACAAGCAAUCGGAGAGCACCAAGGGCCUCUUUGAGGCAGCAAGGUGUCAUAACACAACCAGAGGUGCAUAUACACUGGAGUGACUGACUAACGGAGGUUUAUCUCCCACGGGAAACCAGACAGACUCGCUAUCAAACACUUCCCGCCUUCUGUUACUUGCACCUCUGGGUUUCCGUCUGCUCUCCCACGCCGUCUUUCACCAGGUCAACGCCUUCCUCCUAGUCCCUGCAUCUGCCUGUUCGAUGAAAACUUUUAUGCCAUGGAGGACCGGACACCUUCAAAGACUGUUUUUGUCAUUGGGAAUCCAAUUUUCAAGGAGCUAGUACCAUUUUGAAAAGGGAUUUCCCGCCUCCUCACCACCACUACCACCACCUCUCCAAGUCUUUCUGUAGUGCAGGAGUUUCCAGAGCACAGCUGGGAUCAUUACAGACCGAACCCUUUUGCUGCGGACCACUUGAUGAGGCCGUAAAAACCAAACUGUGCACUCUCUGCUGUGAAUAGGCCUUCUGCUGGAGUGAAACUCCUUUAUUUUUAUAGACCAAAGAGCAAAACAACAAAUAUGAUCAUUAUGACCGAGGUGACAAAAGACACAUAUUACUUGUGGGGUUUCUACAAAAUCUCUACGAGAACAAUCUAAUCAAAGAAGUCCUUUUAAAACCUUCUGGACAUUGUUUUUUCCCCCCUCAGACUGAAGUUGUAUUUUGGAACUCGAAAUAUAGGUACUGCAUACGUAUAACUAUGUAUCAACAAAAAAACAAAACCUAAUUUGUGAUUUUUCAGUAGCUCUGGUUUCAGAUGGAACUGUUACAGAAUUCACAUUGAAAGAAAUGCUAGACAUCUAUGGAGAGCAUGGAUGCUGUUGAGUUGGAAAAAAAGGAGCUCAGAAUUGCCAUUAAAUGUAUUUUGAAAGGCCCUUAAAAGUUAUAUAUUUAACAAUUUUAUAUGUUGUACCUUUGUAGAGAAGCUUAUUGGACUUAAAUGUGGUCACAAUGGCAGUUUAGUAGAACGUGAACAAAUGCUGUUCUCAUUACUGCUGGCUCGUAGUCUAUGGUUUUCUGUUCACACCUCAGUAGCUGCUUUCUUUUCAUGGUUAUCUACAAGUCACAGUCUUAUUAGAACCAUUAAUGACAAAAAAAAGGAAAGUGACAUAAUUUCUUGAAGACUGAUGUGCAGCCAACAGAACAUUGUAAAUCUAUGGUAGUCAGUGGAAGCCAUUGAAAUCUGCUAAUUUGCUAUGAUAUUGUAUUGUACACGAUGUGGAAUACUGAUUCAUUUCCUCUCUAUGGGUUUUGAUCUCUUAAUUUAUUUUGGUGCUUGUGUUCGUUCGCACAAAUCCACCCUCUCUCUGUUGGUAAUCUGGACCACAAAGGAAGCAGAGAGGAGCACUACAGAAAGGAAGCACUGCAAGCAUAGUCAUAUAAAUACAUUUUUUUAUCAUGAAAUAUUUUAAGAAUAAAUUAAAUACAUGGAAAAACA